rnacentral:lncRNA from 1 species
CUCAAUAAUGGCAUAAAAUGCUUAUUGGGAAUCGCACUCUCUCUGCUCAAUUCCAAGAUCUCAUCUGCCACAACACACCCGAACCAAACAUAUGUUCAUUCAACUUUUACUCCUCUUCUCCUCUCCCAUUGGUGCAAUAACCCAACACCAAAAAGUAUGAAUACAAACUGAAGAUGAUGAGGAAAUCCAUAUAGCAUUUUUUGUUUAAACCAAGAAAAGAAAAAGGAAAAAAAAAAUUUGUUAAAGCUUUCCCACUUUGUAAAGGUGUGCAGGAGCAUCUUCCUUUACCCUUCUUGAACUAUUGACUAUUAGUGUUUGUUN